GCUUGUCUCAAAGAUUAAGCCAUGCAUGUCUAAGUAUAAACAACUUUGUACUGUGAAACUGCGAAUGGCUCAUUAUAUCAGUUAUAGUCUACUCGAUAGUACCUUACUACUUGGAUAACCGUGGUAAUUCUAGAGCUAAUACAUGCUAUCAAGCCCGACUUCUUGAAGGGUUGUAUUUAUUAGACUUAAGCCAAUAUUCCUUGUGUCUAUUGCGAUGAUUCAUAAUAACUGAUCGAAUCUCAAAUUUGAGAUAAAUCAUUCAAGUUUCUGCCCUAUCAGCUUUCGAUGGUAGUGUAUUGGACUACCAUGGCAGUAACGGGUAACGAAGAAUUAGGGUUCGAUUUCGGAGAGGGAGCAUGAGAAACGGCUACCACAUCUAAGGAAGGCAGCAGG
rnacentral:rRNA from 1 species